rnacentral:rRNA from 1 species
AAUCCAUAGGUUAAUGAGGCGAACCGGGGGAACUGAAACAUCUAAGUACCCCGAGGAAAAGAAAUCAACCGAGAUUCCCCCAGUAGCGGCGAGCGAACGGGGAGGAGCCCAGAGCCUGAAUCAGCAUGUGUGUUAGUGGAAGCGUCUGGAAAGGCGCGCGAUACAGGGUGACAGCCCCGUACACAAAAGCGCAUGUGCUGUGAGCUCGAUGAGUAGGGCGGGACACGUGGUAUCCUGUCUGAAUAUGGGGGGACCAUCCUCCAAGGCUAAAUACUCCUGACUGACCGAUAGUGAACCAGUACCGUGAGGGAAAGGCGAAAAGAACCCCGGCGAGGGGAGUGAAAAAGAACCUGAAACCGUGUACGUACAAGCAGUGGGAGCACCCUUUGGGGUGUGACUGCGUACCUUUUGUAUAAUGGGUCAGCGACUUAUAUUCUGUAGCAAGGUUAACCGAAUAGGGGAGCCGGAGGGAAACCGAGUCUUAAUUGGGCGUUAAGUUGCAGGGUAUAGACCCGAAACCCGGUGAUCUAGCCAUGGGCAGGUUGAAGGUUGGGUAACACUAACUGGAGGACCGAACCGACUAAUGUUGAAAAAUUAGCGGAUGACCUGUGGCUGGGGGUGAAAGGCCAAUCAAACCGGGAGAUAGCUGGUUCUCCCCGAAAGCUAUUUAGGUAGCGCCUCGUGAAUUCAUCUCCGGGGGUAGAGCACUGUUUCGGCUAGGGGGCCAUCCCGGCUUACCAACCCGAUGCAAACUGCGAAUACCGGAGAAUGUUAUCACGGGAGACACACGGCGGGUGCUAACGUCCGUCGUGAAGAGGGAAACAACCCAGACCGCCAGCUAAGGUCCCAAAGUCAUGGUUAAGUGGGAAACGAUGUGGGAAGGCCCAGACAGCCAGGAUGUUGGCUUAGAAGCAGCCAUCAUUUAAAGAAAGCGUAAUAGCUCACUGGUCGAGUCGGCCUGCGCGGAAGAUGUAACGGGGCUAAACCAUGCACCGAAGCUGCGGCAGCGAACGUAUCACCCAAGACAACUUUACGGAGUUGACGAUUGACGGAGCGAAGCGACGUCAAAGCGUUCAUUAAAGUCGAGUUGGCUUAGGGAUACGUUCGUUGGGUAGGGGAGCGUUCUGUAAGCCUGUGAAGGUGUGUCGUGAGGCAUGCUGGAGGUAUCAGAAGUGCGAAUGCUGACAUAAGUAACGAUAAAGCGGGUGAAAAGCCCGCUCGCCGGAAGACCAAGGGUUCCUGUCCAACGUUAAUCGGGGCAGGGUGAGUCGACCCCUAAGGCGAGGCCGAAAGGCGUAGUCGAUGGGAAACGGGUUAAUAUUCCCGUACUUGGUGUUACUGCGAAGGGGGGACGGAGAAGGCUAUGUUGGCCGGGCGACGGUUGUCCCGGUUUAAGCGUGUAGGUGUGUGUUCCAGGUAAAUCCGGUUCACUUUAACACUGAGGCGUGAUGACGAGGCACUACGGUGCUGAAGCAACAAAUGCCCUGCUUCCAGGAAAAGCCUCUAAGCAUCAGGUAACAUCAAAUCGUACCCCAAACCGACACAGGUGGUCAGGUAGAGAAUACCAAGGCGCUUGAGAGAACUCGGGUGAAGGAACUAGGCAAAAUGGUGCCGUAACUUCGGGAGAAGGCACGCUGACACGUAGGUGAAGUGAUUUACUCA